GACAGAGGGUGCAAACGUUGCUCGGAAUCACUGGGCGUAAAGGGCGUGUAGGCGGGAAGGAAAGUCAGAUGUGAAAUCCCCAGGCUCAACCUGGGAACUGCAUUUGAAACUCCCUUUCUUGAGUACCGGAGAGGAAAGCGGAAUUCCUGGUGUAGAGGUGAAAUUCGUAGAUAUCAGGAGGAACACCAGCGGCGAAGGCGGCUUUCUGGACGGUAAUUGACGCUGAGACGCGAAAGCGUGGGGAGCAAACAGG
rnacentral:rRNA from 1 species